UACGUAGGGUGCAAGCGUUAAUCGGAAUUACUGGGCGUAAAGCGUGCGCAGGCGGUUGUGCAAGACAGAUGUGAAAUCCCCGGGCUCAACCUGGGAAUUGCGUUGGAGACUGCAAGGCUGGAGUCUGGCAGAGGGGGGUAGAAUUCCACGUGUAGCAGUGAAAUGCGUAGAGAUGUGGAGGAACACCGAUGGCGAAGGCAGCCCCCUGGGUCAAGACUGACGCUCAUGCACGAAAGCGUGGGGAGCAAACAGG
rnacentral:rRNA from 1 species